rnacentral:misc_RNA from 1 species
UCUCCGUAGGUGAACCUGCGGAGGGAUCAUUACAGAGCUCAUGCCCUCCGGGUAGAUCUCCCACCCAUUGCUAUAACUACUCUCGUUGCUUUGGCGGGCCGCUGGGCCCUGCCCGGCCGCCGGCCCCGGCUGGCGCGUGCCGCCAGAGACCUCACAAACUCUGAAUGUUAGUGUCGUCCGAGUAACUAUACAAUCGUUAAAACUUUCAACAACGGAUCUCUUGGUUCUG